rnacentral:rRNA from 1 species
UGGGGAAUAUUGCGCAAUGGGGGAAACCCUGACGCAGCGACGCCGCGUGAGCGAAGAAGGCCUUAGGGUUGUAAAGCUCUGUUUUAGGGGACGAAUGUCGUGGGGAGUAAUAUGACCUACGAAUGACGGUACCCUAAGAGGAAGCCCCGGCUAACUACGUGCCAGCAGCCGCGGUAAGACGUAGGGGGCGAGCGUUGUCCGGAAUUACUGGGCGUAAAGAGCACGUAGGCGGGAACCUAAGUCAGGUGUGAAAGACCGUGGCUCAACCACGGGGUGGCAUUUGAAACUGGGUCUCUUGAGGGCAGGAGAGGAAAGCAGAAUUCCUGGUGUAGCGGUGAAAUGCGUAGAAAUCAGGAGGAAUACCAGUGGCGAAGGCGGCUUUCUGGACUGACCCUGACGCUGAGGUGCGAAAGCGUGGGUAGCAAACAGGAU